UUGCUUCUUGGCCUGCAUACAGUUUUCUCAGGAGGCAGGUCACAGCCCUAAGAAGAGUUGUGUGAAUUGACUUGAAAGAUCCUGAUCAACUGAUCUCCAAAUCUAAUUUCAUACUGCUGAAUGGAACAUUAGGGCUAUUGCUAUGGAUUAGUGCUUCUUGAAUUUUUCAUUUGGCCAUGAAUUAGCUGGAAAUCUUGUUGAAAUGUGGAUUCUGAUUCAGUAAAUUUGGCAGGGGUGGAGGCUGAGUUUUUGCAUUUUAAAAUAAAUUCUGGGCUACCAGAACUAUUUUAAAUA